rnacentral:rRNA from 1 species
UCGAACGGUAGCAGGAAAGUACUUGUACUUUUGCUGACGAGUGGCGGACGGGUGAGUAAUGCUUGGGAAUCUGGCUUAUGGAGGGGGAUAACUACUGGAAACGGUAGCUAAUACCGCGUAAUAUCGGAAGAUUAAAGGGUGGGACCAUUUGGCCACCUGCCAUAAGAUGAGCCCAAGUGGGAUUAGGUAGUUGGUGGGGUAAGGGCCUACCAAGCCUUCGAUCUCUAGCUGGUCUGAGAGGAUGACCAGCCACACUGGAACUGAGACACGGUCCAGACUCCUACGGGAGGCAGCAGUGGGGAAUAUUGCACAAUGGGGGGAACCCUGAUGCAGCCAUGCCGCGUGAAUGAAGAAGGCCUUCGGGUUGUAAAGUUCUUUCGGUGAUGAGGAAGGCGGUUAGUUUAAUAGACUAAUUGAUUGACGUUAGUCACAGAA